AUGCACGCUGGCGGCGUGCCUAAUACAUGCAAGUCGAGCGAACAGACGAGGAGCUUGCUCCUCUGACGUUAGCGGCGGACGGGUGAGUAACACGUGGAUAACCUACCUAUAAGACUGGGAUAACUUCGGGAAACCGGAGCUAAUACCGGAUAACAUGUUGAACCGCAUGGUUCAACAGUGAAAGACGGUCUUGCUGUCACUUAUAGAUGGAUCCGCGCCGCAUUAGCUAGUUGGUAAGGUAACGGCUUACCAAGGCAACGACGCGUAGCCGACCUGAGAGGGUGAUCGGCCACACUGGAACUGAGACACGGACCAGACUCCUACGGGAGGCAGCAGUAGGGAAUCUUCCGCAAUGGGCGAAAGCCUGACGGAGCAACGCCGCGUGAGUGAAGAAGGUCUUCGGAUCGUAAAACUCUGUUAUUAGGGAAGAACAAAUGUGUAAGUAACUAUGCACGUCUUGACGGUACCUAAUCAGAAAGCCACGGCUAACUACGUG
rnacentral:rRNA from 1 species